UACAGGGGGUGCAAACGUUGCUCGGAAUCAUUGGGCGUAAAGCGCACGUAGGCGGUUCGUUAUGUCGGAUGUGAAAGCCCUUGGCUUAACCGAGGAAGUGCAUCCGAAACUGGCGAGCUAGAGUACGAAAGAGGAUCGCGGAAUUCCCGGUGUAGAGGUGAAAUUCGUAGAUAUCGGGAGGAACACCGGUGGCGAAGGCGGCGAUCUGGGUCGAUACUGACGCUGAGGUGCGAAAGCGUGGGGAGCAAACAGGAGUUAGA
rnacentral:rRNA from 1 species